GUCAUUUUAUCUCCGGAUCUUUAUCUGUUUCAACAACAAUAAACAAAGAGCAAAUCAAAAAAUCAUUAGAUGAUUUGAAUUGGAAGGAAGAUUACUAGAUUAGCUCUAAUCUAGUUCAUAGGAAAAGAUUUAAGGCAGAACAAGAAAUGCAUUAUACUAUCGAUUACACUAAAUGAGAAAGAAUCAGAACAUCAAAGGGCAGUUAAAAAAACAGAACAAACAUU